GUUGUCAUAAACGUGAACACCGUAGCUAAGUAAAUCGAGAGAUCCAAAGGUAGACCAUUCUUGUGCUACAUUAAAAUCAGCGAGUGGCUUAUGUAAAUAUAUGUCACCAGUUUGGUCAGAGUCAAUAACUACACGCCAAUGUUCACCAUCAUGGAAUACGACUACAUCAUAGAGUGGUCCCGGAUUGUCAAACUUUUCAGCAAGCUGCUUUAAGCACUCGAUCCUAGCCUCAAGUUCCUUCUGUGUCUGUAGGUUAUCCUUAUCGAGCGGUGCUUCAGGAAACUUAUCCUUGAAUUUAGCAUACUCGUCUGUAGCAUCUUGUAAAAGCUUUCUAUUACUCUUGUUCAUGUCUUCGGUUUCUAGUUUUUGCAAUCGUUUUCUCAGAUCCUUAGGAAAGAACUCAUAAGCAAGUUUACAACCCACUUUCCAUUUCUUCGAGGGAUUCUUCCAUUCUUUCGAUAAUUUUAAGGUCCUUCCUGAACGACCCGUAAUAGUCAAGUAAUCAUUUGAAUCAGCUGCAGCAACUUCCACGCUUGUAUCAACAUCACCAGCUCCAGUACAAUCGACAAUAUUUUUGAAUUUUGGUAAACCGGUGGUUGUUACCGAUAAACCUGGAGCUCCA